rnacentral:rRNA from 1 species
AUUGAACGCUGGCGGCAUGCCUUACACAUGCAAGUCGAACGGCAGCGGACCUUCGGGUGCCGGCGAGUGGCGAACGGGUGAGUAAUAUAUCGGAACGUACCUUUCAGUGGGGGAUAACGUAGCGAAAGUUACGCUAAUACCGCAUAUUCUGUGAGCAGGAAAGCAGGGGAUCGCAAGACCUUGCGCUGAUUGAGCGGCCGAUAUCAGAUUAGCUAGUUGGUGAGGUAAAGGCUCACCAAGGCGACGAUCUGCAGCGGGUCUGAGAGGAUGAUCCGCCACACUGGAACUGAGACACGGUCCAGACUCCUACGGGAGGCAGCAGUGGGGAAUUUUGGACAAUGGGCGCAAGCCUGAUCCAGCCAUGCCGCGUGAGUGAAGAAGGCCUCGGUUGUAAG